GUUUCAGCAGCCGCGGUAAUACGGAGGGGGCUAGCGUUGCUCGGAAUUACUGGGCGUAAAGCGCACGUAGGCGGCGAUGAUAGUCAGAUGUGAAAGGCCUGGGCUUAACCCGGGAACUGCAUUUGAUACUGCAUUGCUAGAGUCCGAGAGAGGGUAGUGGAAUUCCCAGUGUAGAGGUGAAAUUCGUAGAUAUUGGGAAGAACACCAGUGGCGAAGGCGGCUACCUGGCUCGGUACUGACGCUCAGGUGCGAAAGCGUGGGGAGCAAACAGGAUUAGAUACCCCUGUAGUCC
rnacentral:rRNA from 1 species